rnacentral:sRNA from 1 species
CUCCCAGCCCCUCCUCCCUGGCGCCAUGGAGCCCUCCCCACGAGCCCAGGGGCAUCCAAGCAUGGGCGGCCCAAUGCAGAGGGUGACGCCUCCUCGUGGCAUGGCCAGCGUGGGGCCCCAGGUAAGAGUGGAGCCCUGGUGGGUGGGGCCUUCGGGCUGUCCCCGGUCUACCCCUCACAGCCCCUUUGCCUCCGCAGAGCUAUGGAGGUGGCAUGCGACCCCCACCCAACUCCCUCGCCGGCCCAGGCCUGCCUGCCAUGAACAUGGGCCCAGGAGUUCGUGGCCCGUGGGCCAGCCCCAGUGGAAACUCGGUGAGCCUAUGGCUGGGUGGGCAGGCUUGGGGUGGGGUGGGAGGGGCACUGGGUGAGCCGCCUGGCUGACUGCUCACAGCUGCCCUUGUCCCCAGAUCCCCUACUCCUCCUCAUCUCCCGGCAGCUACACGGGACCCCCAGGAGGAGGUGGGCCCCCUGGAACACCCAUCAUGCCUAGCCCUGGAGAUUCCACCAACUCCAGCGAAAACAUGUACACUAUCAUGAACCCCAUCGGGCAGGGCGCCGGCAGGGCUAAU